rnacentral:lncRNA from 1 species
ACAGCAGCAACCCUAUGACUAUAUUAAAUCAAAGGACUUCUAUUUACUUAGACAUUGAGAAGCCGCCUGUUUAACUAAGUGGAAUUAGGAAUCACGUAGUAUGAGAUCAAUUCCGUACCAGGAGAGAAGAAGAUGUCGUCCUAAUCAGUAGUUCAAGAGUAGUCCUUACAACUAUAUUUAAUUCCGCAAGUCCUUCAACACUAGCCCAACAGGACUUAGGGCACUCUUAGAUCAUACAGAACACAUUGGGUUUACCAUAUUACGGGGUCAUCGUAUACUACUGCAGUGGGGUGUGAAGAGCAGCAUGGAGAUUCGAGGACAC